UGGGGAAUUUUGGACAAUGGGCGAAAGCCUGAUCCAGCAAUGCCGCGUGUGUGAAGAAGGCCUUCGGGUUGUAAAGCACUUUUGUCCGGAAAGAAAUCCUUGGCUCUAAUACAGUCGGGGGAUGACGGUACCGGAAGAAUAAGCACCGGCUAACUACGUGCCAGCAGCCGCGGUAAUACGUAGGGUGCAAGCGUUAAUCGGAAUUACUGGGCGUAAAGCGUGCGCAGGCGGUUUGCUAAGACCGAUGUGAAAUCCCCGGGCUCAACCUGGGAACUGCAUUGGUGACUGGCAGGCUAGAGUAUGGCAGAGGGGGGUAGAAUUCCACGUGUAGCAGUGAAAUGCGUAGAGAUGUGGAGGAAUACCGAUGGCGAAGGCAGCCCCCUGGGCCAAUACUGACGCUCAUGCACGAAAGCGUGGGGAGCAAACAGGAUUAGAUACCCUGGUAGUCCACGCCCUAAACGAUGUCAACUAGUUGUUGGGGAUUCAUUUCCUUAGUAACGUAGCUAACGCGUGAAGUUGACCGCCUGGGGAGUACGGUCGCAAGAUUAAAACUUAAAGGAAUUGACGGGGUCAUAGCUGUUUUUCU
rnacentral:rRNA from 1 species